GGGUGAGUAACACGUGGAUAACCUACCUAUAAGACUGGGAUAACUUCGGGAAACCGGAGCUAAUACCGGAUAAUAUUUUGAACCGCAUGGUUCAAAAGUGAAAGACGGUCUUGCUGUCACUUAUAGAUGGAUCCGCGCUGCAUUAGCUAGUUGAUAAGGUAACGGCUUACCAAGGCAACGAUGCAUAGCCGACCUGAGAGGGUGAUCGGCCACACUGGAACUGAGACACGGUCCAG
rnacentral:rRNA from 1 species